AGUUUCCGAUGCCAUUCCUCUCCAGAGAGAGUGGAGCUUUGCUCGGACAAAUGCGGUGCUCGCCUUGCUCUACCGCAAAUUGUUUGUGCCCUUCAAGCCGGAGGAGUUGGUCCGCCAUUUGCAGCACGUCCUGGAGACGAGCGAAGUCAACUGGCAUCACGUCCUCUCCUGCGUUUCCACGCUGCUGGUCUGCCAGUCGGGAGCCGCACCACUGAUUAAAGACUUCCUGAGCCAUCUGCUGAAGAAAGGCUUUGAGGACUAUGACUUGGAAAGCAUGAUGACGGCGUUCCUGAUCGCGCGCCAGGCUGGCCUGGAGGGUCCUGCCGUUUUCAUGCCUUACGCAGAAUGGUUUAAGGUAAGAGCCUAAGAUAGAUCAUGAGUUCUGACAUUAAAUUGCCUCAUUUAUGGUCCUAACCAUACAGGUUUGCAUUGGCGGACCCAAAGAGACAUCUCAGGAAUUUGCUAUGUCCUCUGCCACAAUUACCCAUUGAAUUUUGACUUGUGAGUUUUAACCUGCUUUAUACUAGUGUGGUCUUGUGAGUAUUUUUUUUUUGGCCCAGUUCCUUUUAGGAGCCAAUCCUGGAUUUUACUAAAGUAUGACUAUUUUACCGUGUU